rnacentral:rRNA from 1 species
GACGAACGCUGGCGGCGUGCCUAAUACAUGCAAGUCGAACGCAGUGGGGACGGGUGAGUAACACGUGGGUAACCUCCCAUCAGAGGGGAUAACACUUGGAAACAGGUGCUAAACCGAUACUGAUGGAUGAACCCAUAGGGGAUUAGCUAGUAGGUGGGGUAAAGGCCCACGAAGGCCACGAUGCAUAGCUGACCUGCGAGGGUGAGCUGCCACACUAGGACUGAGACAGGGCCCAGUCGCCUCCGGGAGGCAGCAGUAGGGAAUCUUCGGCAAUGGACGAAAGUAUGACCGAGCAACGCCGCGGGAUUGAAGAAGGUUUUCGGAUCGUAAAACUCUGUGGUUAGAGAAGCGGUAUCUAACCAGAAAGCCACGGCUAACUACGUGCCAGCAGCCGCGGUAAUAC